rnacentral:rRNA from 1 species
AUUGAACGCUAGCGGCAUGCUUAACACAUGCAAGUCGAACGGUAACAGGCCUAGCUUGCUAGGCGCUGACGAGCGGCGGACGGGUGAGUAACGCGGAGGAAUCUACCUUGUAGAGGGGAAUAACCUGGGGAAACUCAGGCGAAUACCGCAUAAGUCCUAAGGGGGAAAGCAGGGGACCGUAACAAGCCUUGAACGAUGAGAUGAGCCUACGUCGGAUUAGCUAGUUGGUAGGGUAAAGGCCUACCAAGGCGAAGAUCCGUAGCUGGUCUGAGAGGACGACCAGCCACACUGGGACUGAGACACGGCCCAGACUCCUACGGGAGGCAGCAGUGGGGAAUAUUGGACAAUGGGCGCAAGCCUGAUCCAGCAAUGCCGCGUGUGUGAAGAAGGCCUGCGGGUUGUAAAGCACUUUCAGUGGGGAGGAACGUUUUUAGCACUAAUACUGCUAAGAGGUGACGCUACCCAAAGAAGAAGCACCGGCUAACUCUGUGCCAGCCGCCGCAGUAA